rnacentral:tRNA from 1 species
GCCUGGGUGCCUCAGUUGGUUGAGUAUCUGACUUUGGCUCAGGUCACGAUCUCACAGUUCAUGGGUUCGAGCCCCAUGUCAGGCU